GAUGAACGCUGGCGGCGUGCCUAAUACAUGCAAGUCGAGCGAACAGACGAGGAGCUUGCUCCUCUGACGUUAGCGGCGGACGGGUGAGUAACACGUGGAUAACCUACCUAUAAGACUGGGAUAACUUCGGGAAACCGGAGCUAAUACCGGAUAAUAUAUUGAACCGCAUGGUUCAAUAGUGAAAGACGGUUUUGCUGUCACUUAUAGAUGGAUCCGCGCUGCAUUAGCUAGUUGGUAAGGUAACGGCUUACCAAGGCAACGAUGCGUAGCCGACCUGAGAGGGUGAUCGGCCACACUGGAACUGAGACACGGUCCAGACUCCUACGGGAGGCAGCAGUAGGGAAUCUUCCGCAAUGGGCGAAAGCUUGACGGAGCAACGCCGCGUGAGUGAUGAAGGUCUUCGGAUCGUAAAACUCUGUUAUUAGGGAAGAACAAAUGUGUAAGUAACUAUGCACGUCUUGACGGUACCUAAGCAGAAAGCCACGGCUAACUACGUG
rnacentral:rRNA from 1 species